UAGAGUGGUAAUUGAUCUAAUGCAACUUUUGCCUCGGAUAACAUCAUUAUUUGUGAAAUUAUGUCAGUGUUGCUGCUGCCAAGUCAGCAAGCACUUACAGGACGUGACUUCUAAUUUAGGAAUUGGACUAUUUGUGGCUCAUCUUCGAAGACAGCAGGAACUCAGUGGACACCGGGGGCCAGACUUCUGAAAGUGCACAGGUGGAGAUUCCUAACACCUCAGACCCUAGACCCCAACUCAACAUCUGCUUCCAGAAGCCUGACCUGCCACAGGGCCCUCCGCAGUUUCCACCUGUACCUGUGGCACUCCCGAAGCUUAUACCAGCCUGAGUUGGUUCUGUUGUUUGCAAACGAGAAGCCUGACAUCGACAUCACCGUACCUCUGUUUUGAUGGUAUGUCCCGAGAUAGGACAAAGCGUCUGGAAUACAGCCCUGCUUAGGAUCCCCAGCCUGGGACUCUGGCCUUCCUGUCGGCUCACCUUGACUCCUCUGUCUGUGUAGAGGAGCGAAAUGCUGUGUCAGUAGCUCUGUGGUUGAGACAUUUUCUUUUCAGCUAAAAGAUGUCUCCCUGCCCUACGAAGUUGCAAUGCAGACCCCACCACAGAAAGGCCGGUGAGCUGGUCAGCCUUACCACAUCAACUAUUUAUGAUUUUGUUAAAAAGUAAAAACCAGAACACACGUACCCACAGAAAGCCACAGAAUAAGCGCAAGCCCUCAGAAUGCUUCUGGAGAAACAGUGGUAUCUCCUCACCUCUCUGGACCUUUGCUCUGACUUCUCAGCAAGCCCCAUUGUUUGUCAGCUGGUGUGGGGAGCGGAGUCUCUCCAAGGGAGACUUUCCAUCAAUCCCUGGAGCCCACUCUGAGGAAGAAAGCAACAACCCGACAAACACGAAAAGCAAGAUAGCAUGGCGUUGAUGCACUUGGGCUCAGGAGCCAGAGGGAUCUGGGUGAAACUGGGACCCGGCAGCACUGCUUCCUCCCUGUGUGGCCUUCAGGACCUUAUGCACCUCUCUGCGACUCCGUUUUCUCAUUCCUGAAGGAUAUGAAUGCCCGCUUUGUUUGUUUGGGUUCUGCUUCUGUUUUUGUGUGGGGGGGUGGAUUCAGCAAAGUUCUUUGCUUACUGAGUGUUGGCACCUGUGAGCACGUGAAAACAUCUUACCUUCUUUACCUCUGCUGUCGUCCUUCUCAUCCCAAAGCAUCAUCUUGUCAUCAGUUAUCUGGACAUGUACCACCUCUUCGCCCGUUGUGCGUGAUGUACCCCACAGGGCCUGGCUCCUGAUACGUGUUCAUUGAAAUUCUGAUGUAUAAAGCUCUGUCGUUUUGACUGUUGUGUAAUCUAUGUUUAACAGGUCAUAAGGUGACAGGGCCUGAUGGAUCACUUUGGACACGUAUCCUAGAACCAUAUUUGUCUGGCUUCAUCCUACCUACAAAGCCAAUCAUACCAAUUUGCACAUAAAGUUCACCAAUACCAGCAGUGUCACCAUUUCUGGGAGCCUCUGGGGGAAUCUCUCACUUGUUCUUCUGAGUCUUGGCUUGGCUGGUGAGGGAAACCUGCUCUUCUCUUUCUGCUUUGAGCUGCACCCUGUGGACGAGGAGGUGAGGACAU